rnacentral:misc_RNA from 1 species
ACGAGUUUUGAAGUGGGAUUGAUGCUGGCCUUCCGAGGCAUGUGCUCGUCCUUGCUCAUCCACUCACAACACCUGUGCACUGUUGAGGUGUGGCCCCCCUUCAAUGGAGCCGUUCCCCCUAGGGGUCGAGCCGGGGUCAGGCCUUCUUCGUCACAAACAACUUGUAAUGUCUAUUCGGAAUGUAAUGCUUCAUGUUAAUGAAACAAUA